AACGAACGCUGGCGGCAUGCCUAACACAUGCAAGUCGAACGAGGGCCCCGCUUCGGUGGGACCCUAGUGGCGCACGGGUGAGUAACGCGUGGGAACCUGCCCUGUGGUACGGAAUAACUCCGGGAAACUGGAGCUAAUACCGUAUGUGUCCUUUGGGACAAAGAUUUAUCGCCAUGGGAUGGGCCCGCGUAGGAUUAGCUUGUUGGUGGGGUAACGGCCUACCAAGGCAACGAUCCUUAGCUGGUCUGAGAGGAUGAUCAGCCACACUGGGACUGAGACACGGCCCAGACUCCUACGGGAGGCAGCAGUGGGGAAUAUUGGACAAUGGGCGCAAGCCUGAUCCAGCAAUGCCGCGUGAGUGAUGAAGGCCUUCGGGUUGUAAAGCUCUUUCAGCAGGGACGAAGCGCAAGUGACGGUACCUGUAGAAGAAGGACCGGCCAACUACGUGC
rnacentral:rRNA from 1 species